AGAGUUUGAUCAUGGCUCAGGACGAACGCUGGCGGCGUGCCUGAAUACAUGCAAGUAGAACGCUGAAGACUGGUGCCUGCACUAGUCAGAUGAGUUGCGAACGGGUGAGUAACGCGUAGGUAACCUACCUUAUAGCGGGGGAUAACUAUUGGACAACGAUAGCUAAUACCGCAUGACAAUUAAGUACUCAUGUACUAAAUUUAAAAGGAGCAAUUGCUUCACUAUGAGAUGGACCUGCGUUGUAUUAGCUAGUUGGUGAGGUAACGGCUCACCAAGGCUACGAUACAUAGCCGACCUGAGAGGGUGAUCGGCCACACUGGGACUGAGACACGGCCCAGACUCCUACGGGAGGCAGCAGUAGGGAAUCUUCGGCAAUGGGGGCAACCCUGACCGAGCAACGCCGCGUGAGUGAAGAAGGUUUUCGGAUCGUAAAGCUCUGUUGCUAGAGAAGAACGGUAAUGGGAGUGGAAAAUCCAUUACGUGACGGUAACUAACCAGAAAGGGACGGCUAACUACGUGCCAGCAGCCGCGGUAAUACGUAGGUCUCGAGCGUUGUCCGGAUUUAUUGGGCGUAAAGCGAGCGCAGGCGGUUAUUUAAGUCUGAAGUUAAAGGCCGUGGCUCAACCAUGGUUCGCUUUGGAAACUGGAUAACUUGAGUGCAGAAGGGGAGAGUGGAAUUCCAUGUGUAGCGGUGAAAUGCGUAGAUAUAUGGAGGAACACCGGUGGCGAAAGCGGCUCUCUGGUCUGUAACUGACGCUGAGGCUCGAAAGCGUGGGGAGCAAACAGGAUUAGAUACCCUGGUAGUCCACGCCGUAAACGAUGAGUGCUGGGUGUUAGGCCCUUUCCGGGGCUUAGUGCCGCAGCU
rnacentral:rRNA from 1 species